GAUGAACGCUGGCGGCGUGCUUAACACAUGCAAGUCGAACGAAGUCUUCGGACUUAGUGGCGGACGGGUGAGUAACGGCGUGAGGAUCUGCCCCUUUAGGAGGGGGUACAACUUUUGGAAACGGAAGCUAAUACCCCAUAUGUCGAGGGAUGAAACUAUUUGGCCUGGAGGAUGAACUCGCGUCUGAUUAGCUAGUUGGUGAGGUAAGGGCUUACCAAGGCGACGUAUUCAGUAGCUGUUCUGAGAGGAAGAUCAGCCACACUGGGACUGAGACACGGCCCAGACUCCUACGGGAGGCAGCAGUGGGGAAUUUUCCGCAACGGGCGCAAGCCUGACGGAGCAACGCCGCGUGAGGG
rnacentral:rRNA from 1 species